AUGAACUAUUUCAACACCCAGGAAAUAGUUGAAGCAAAUAAACCUUAAAAAAUUACUCAUUCUGCAUUUUUGUUAUACUUUUAUGCCAUUUUUGAAAUAUAUACAUAACAUAGCAUUUGCCCAUCUUUAUUUCGGAUGUUUCAAUGAAAAGUAUGCUAAAUUCAGUCUUUUUUCUCUUACUUGUAUUUGUCAGGUCUGUAUGCCUGCAUACCGACCUGGUGUAUGCUUAACUCUUACUCUAUGUGUACAAAUGUAUACUAGAAUUUGUCAGGUCUGUAUGCCAGCAUACUGACUUGGUGUGUGCUAAACUCUCACUGUAUGCGUAUACUAGUAUUUGUCAAGUCUGUAUGCCUGCAUACCGACCUGGCGUAUUCUAAACUCUCACUUUCUGCGUAUAUUAGUAUUUGUCAGGUCUGUAUGCCUGCAUAUAGACUCAAAUUAUUAUUUAUUUUGGCAUUUUUCUGCCAGGUACUUGCAUGCCUGCAUGGAUUCUUAAAUUUUAUUCUGGAUUCAUGUUUGUAUUGGCAAGUCUGUCUGCCUGAAUGCUAAGCAUUUACUGUGUAGUAACAUUUCUUAUUUACUUAUGUUUGCAUAACCAACCCCCCAUAGAAAAUAAGGAGAUGUGUAUGAUUUUGAAAGAGACAUACAAAUGUAUCUCCAUCAAACAUGUCAAAGGCCGAAUUACAUCGAUGUAAGGAAUUACUUAUGUAUAGCCUUCAACUUCGUUUGAAUUUGAAAGAAAGCUCUCAAUUCUUAACUGCAACACUCAGGGGUUUAUUCCUGUAUAUCAACCCGCUUUUCAAUAAACUCUUGUAAAAAAAUGGAAUUCAUAGGUUUGAUUGUCGGCAUACCGACCUAUAGUCCUAUACACAUUGGAACAUAAAAGUUUGCAUAUUUGUUUGACAUUUUCAGUUCACGGUAUUCUUGCAUACAACACUGGUGUACGGUGAACACUUAUUUUUUUUUUA